AGUUUGAUCCUGGCUCAGGAUGAACGCUGGCGGCGUGCCUAACACAUGCAAGUCGAGCGAGAUUAAUGGAAGUGGAGACUUCGGUCAAAGCGACCAUUAUGAAAGCGGCGGACGGGUGAGUAACGCGUGAGCAAUCUGCCCCAUACAAAGGGAUACCCACUGGAAACGGUGAUUAAUACCUUAUAAGACCACGAUGCCGCAUGGCAAUGGGGUCAAAGAUUUAUCGGUAUGGGAUGAGCUCGCGUCUGAUUAGCUAGUUGGUAAGGUAAUGGCUUACCAAGGCGACGAUCAGUAGCCGACCUGAGAGGGUGAACGGCCACACUGGAACUGAGACACGGUCCAGACUCCUACGGGAGGCAGCAGUGGGGAAUAUUGCACAAUGGGCGCAAGCCUGAUGCAGCAACGCCGCGUGAAUGAUGAAGGCCUUCGGGUCGUAAAGUUCUGUCCAAAGGGAAGAAUACAGUGACGGUACCUUUGGAGGAAGCCCCGGCUAACUACGUGCCAGCAGCCGCGGUAAUACGUAGGGGGCAAGCGUUAUCCGGAAUCACUGGGCGUAAAGGGAGCGUAGGCGGUUUGACAAGCCAGAGGUGAAAGGCAAUAGCUUAACUAUUGUAAGCCUUUGGAACUGUCGAACUUGAGUGCAGGAGAGGAAAGUGGAAUUCCUAGUGUAGCGGUGAAAUGCGUAGAUAUUAGGAGGAACACCAGUGGCGAAGGCGACUUUCUGGACUGUAACUGACGCUGAGGCUCGAAAGCGUGGGGAGCGAACAGGAUUAGAUACCCUGGUAG
rnacentral:rRNA from 1 species